rnacentral:rRNA from 1 species
UACGUAGGGUGCAAGCGUUGUCCGGAAUUAUUGGGCGUAAAGAGCUUGUAGGCGGUUUGUCGCGUCUGCUGUGAAAUUUCGGGGCUCAACCCCGAACUUGCAGUGGGUACGGGCAGACUAGAGUGUGGUAGGGGAGACUGGAAUUCCCGGUGUAGCAGUGAAAUGCGUAGAGAUCGGGAGGAACAUCAGUUGCGAAGGCGGCUCUCUGGACCAGCACUGACACUGAGGCACGAAAGCGUGGGGAGCAAACAGG